CUACGCAGUCGCGGGUGUGGUCUGAAUCUGCCUAUGGGAAUAAUGGUGGAACGGCGCAAUACUGCUCAGAUGUAAAGUCCUAUUGCAUUCAGCGGGGCUUGCUCCCAACACCAAGGUUGAUGUGUUCUGUGGCUCACCAAGAAGAAGAGUGUACAACCUGCAGAAAAAUUGACAAACUGUCAGGUUCCUGUUGGGGAGGAUGCCAGCAUUUGCCAUCUUUUAAGAAUAAAGACUACAUAUGUGCUGCUAUGAAAAGAGUGAUAUAGCAGACAGUUGUCCUUGGGGAGUGGAGCUCGACCACCUAAUACAUCUCACAAAGGCCGACAAACAAUCUUCAGAUCUCAGUAACUCCCCAUCAUAACUGAGCUGCACUAGAUUUGAACUGACAACUUUGAAGAAGGAUUCUCCAUAUCCAAUUACCCAGGUCCCUGAUGAGCUCAAUGUUUAUCUGAAAGCUCUGCCUUCUGAAGUGUGAUGAGGGGAUUCUUCCCAUCUUCAGCUGGGUUGCAACUUGCCUGCACUCCCUUCUAUCAAAUAAAACUUUUAUUCCAUUA